AUGCACACAUUUUCUGAGCCGUGCGUGUCACGCAGGCAGUGUUCAAGCUCUAACCUGUUAACAUGGGAGCUGAAAUCAAAAUGGACACGCCACGCGGCCACUAGUGUGUAACCGGCCGAA